UACGUAGGCAGCGAGCGUUGUUCGGAGUUACUGGGCGUAAAGGGUGUGUAGGCGGUUGUUUAAGUUUGGUGUGAAAUCUCCCGGCUCAACUGGGAGGGUGCGCCGAAUACUGAAUGACUAGAGUGCGGGAGAGGAAAGUGGAAUUCCUGGUGUAGCGGUGAAAUGCGUAGAUAUCAGGAGGAACACCGGUGGUGUAGACGGCUUUCUGGACGGAUACUGACGCUGAGGCGCGAAAGCGUGGGGAUCAAACAGG
rnacentral:rRNA from 1 species